rnacentral:tRNA from 1 species
AGCAGCGUGGCUCAGUGGAAAGAGCCCGGGCUUGGCAGUCAAAGAUCAUGGGUUCGAAUCCCAACUCUGCCU